GUAAGGUAUGACUUCUUCGAUUGUAUCUGUUCUUUUUGCUGGAUAUCUGGCCUCCUGUAGCAAGGGAUCUGUUUCUGCAGAAACAACUGCUGUACUUCUAGGAGGUGGCUAUGGUGGAAAAAGUGAAUCUUAUCCCUGUGAUGUGGCAAUAGGAGAUAUCGGUAUUGUAUCAGGCCCAGG